UGAGGAAUUUUGCGCAAUGGGGGAAACCCUGACGCAGCAACGCCGCGUGGGUGAUGAAGGCCUUCGGGUCGUAAAGCCCUGUCGGGCGGGAAGAACGUCCCUUCGGGGAAUGACGGUACCGCCAGAGGAAGCACCGGCUAACUCCGUGCCAGCAGCCGCGGUAAUCCGGCGGGUGCAAGCGUUAUUCGGAAUUACUGGGCGUAAAGGGCGUGCAGGCGGGAGAGCAAGGCUGAUGUGAAAGCCCGGGGCUUAACCCCGGAAGGGCAUUGGAAACUG
rnacentral:rRNA from 1 species